rnacentral:rRNA from 1 species
GAUCAUGGCUCAGGACGAACGCUGGCGGCGUGCUUAACACAUGCAAGUCGAACGAAGAGCGAUGGAAGCUUGCUUCUAUCAAUCUUAGUGGCGAACGGGUGAGUAACGCGUAAUCAACCUGCCCUUCAGAGGGGGACAACAGUUGGAAAUGACUGCUAAUACCGCAUACGAUCUAACCUCGGCAUCGAGGAUAGAUGAAAGGUGGCCUCUAUUUAUAAGCUAUC